rnacentral:rRNA from 1 species
UACGAAGGGGGCAAGCGUUGUUCGGAAUUACUGGGCGUAAAGCGUGCGCAGGCGGUUCUGAAAGUCAGCUGUGAAAGCCCCGGGCUUAACCUGGGAACUGCGGUUGAAACUACAGGACUAGAAUCUGGCAGAGGGGGGUGGAAUUCCACGUGUAGCAGUGAAAUGCGUAGAGAUGUGGAGGAACACCGAUGGCGAAGGCAGCCCCCUGGGCUGAGAUUGACGCUCAGGCACGAAAGCGUGGGGAGCAAACAGG